rnacentral:rRNA from 1 species
UACGUAGGGUGCGAGCGUUGUCCGGAAUUAUUGGGCGUAAAGGGCUCGUAGGCGGUUUGUCGCGUCGGGAGUGAAAACACACAGCUUAACUGUGUGCUUGCUUCCGAUACGGGCAGACUAGAGGUAUGCAGGGGAGAACGGAAUUCCAGGUGUAGCGGUGAAAUGCGCAGAUAUCAGGAGGAACACCGGUGGCGAAGGCGGUUCUCUGGGCAUUACCUGACGCUGAGGAGCGAAAGUGUGGGGAGCGAACAGG